GACGGAGGAUGCAAGUGUUAUCCGGAAUCACUGGGCGUAAAGCGUCUGUAGGUUGUUUAAUAAGUCAACUGUUAAAUCUUGGGGCUCAACCUCAAAAUCGCAGUCGAAACUAUUAGACUUGAGUAUAGUAGAGGUAAAGGGAAUUUCCAGUGGAGCGGUGAAAUGCGUAGAGAUUGGAAAGAACACCAAUGGCGAAGGCACUUUACUGGGCUAUUACUGACACUCAGAGACGAAAGCUAGGGUAGCAAAUGGGAUUAGAUACCCCAGUAGUCCUAGCUGUAAACAAUGGAUACUAGGUGUUGAACAGAUCGACCUGUGCAGUACCAAAGCUAACGCGUUAAGUAUCCCGC
rnacentral:rRNA from 1 species